rnacentral:tRNA from 1 species
GGGCGCGUAGCUCAGCUGGUCAGAGCAUCCGGUUUACACCCGGGAGGUCGCCCGUUCGAACCGGGCCGCGCCCAC